GACAACGCAACAGUUGGCGUGAAGUCAGCCGCAGACAUGCAUGGUCAACCACAGUAUCUUCUCACAGAGCUGCCAUCCUUAGACAGCCUGGCCACCGAGGGAAAUAUCUGAGAGCACAACACAAGGCCUCCUCAGGAGGUGCUUUGGUCAAGGCUGUGAAUAUCACAGGAGCUGCAGGGCUACCACCACAAGGGAUAGAGCCCCUUCAGGGCAUCGGCAGUAACCAAGCUUGCUGCAAAUGGAGGACACAUGUAUUGUGAUGGCCUGGAGUUACUCAGUUAUCUGAUCCUUGUGCUCAAAUUCACUUUACAAAGCUCAGCCGAGUCUUGUUAUUUUACAGAAACAC